UGUCUAAGGCAUGCAAGUCGAACGCCCUUUGUAGCAAUAUAAAGGGAGUGGCAAACGGGUGCGUAUGACAGUGGUACCUGCCCCCUUCACGACCAUAACCUGGAGAAAUCCGGACUAAUAGUCGAUAGUCCCUACAAAAAUUAUUUUGCAGGGUAAAGGUUUCGCAAGAAACCGGAUGGGGAGGGGCCUUUGACCUAUCAGCUAGUUGGUGAGGUAAUGGCUCACCAAGGCAACGACAGGUAGCGGGUGUGAGAGCACGACCCGCCUCACUGGGACUGAGACACUGCCCAGACACCUACGGGUGGCUGCAGUCGAGAAUAUUCCCCAAUGCGCGAAAGCGUGAGGGAGCGUCGCCGCGUGUAGGCCUCUCCCUUCGGGGUGUAAACUAC
rnacentral:rRNA from 1 species